rnacentral:tRNA from 1 species
GCGGACAUGGUGAAAUGGUAUACACGCAAGCUUGAGGUGCUUGUGGAGCAAUCUGUGGGGGUUCAAGUCCCCCUGUCCGCACCA